AUAAAAAACAAAGAAAAAAUAACAAAUCAUUCAUCUAGGCUUUUCACUCUACGGCUCACGCUUUGUCUCAUCUUCUUCUCGGUUUGCCUCUCUAGCUUCUUCUCUUCCAAUCCAACCACAAGAACCAGACAGCUGCUAAACAAAACCAUACCCACAAGAGAAGAAACAAAGUUACAAAUUUCAAUCCAACUCGACGGCACACCCACAACCUCAAAUCAGCGGCGCUUCUUCUCUUCCAAUCAAACUUGGCGGCGUCACCCACAAUCUUCAGGUAGUAUAGGGUGAAGGAAAUAUAUCAGGCUAUGCCCACACAUAUCCUACUACUAAUGGAAGCAAAUUGUCCGGGGAAGAGAGAUUUAGGAGUAAUGCCAAUGGUUUUUGGUCCACGAAUAAGCGGCAACAAAGCAAUGGUAUCAAUCAAGGUCACGGUGACAUUAAAGUGCAUGAUUCCCAGAUGAGUCCAAAUGAUUUGCGUUUGAAACUGAUAAACAAAAGAAAGAUGAAGUGAAUUUCAAGGGUUUUUGAAGAGAGAAGGAAGAUGGACCAAAGUCAAAAGUUGUCAAAAACUAUUCAGGCUGCAAGGCAUAACAUGCAGCAGCAAAGGUUUGAAUUAGAAGGACGUACUUUUUUGUGGCGAAUGCGAGACACAGAAAGACCUAGAUUCCCAAAUAGAAAUUUGAAAUCUUCUAGGGGAUUCUCACCACAAAGAAAUUUCAAUGAGCUGCACCAAGUACCAUCACUAAGGGCAGCUGAUAAUUCAAGAGCUAGAUGGUUUUUAAGCAAUGAUGGUGCGUCUAGGCCAACAGGACCUUUAACUGUCAAAUACUCAAAGGCCCUGAUACUUCAAAGCUAGUUAUGCAGCUUACACCAAUAGGUGGCAUUGGGCAGAAAAGUUUUCAUUCGGUGGAGGAAUCUCAUACUAUCACUAGCCUGUUGCAAUUGCUUGGUUUGGGGAAAUAUAACACUCUUUUCCGAGUUGAAGAGGUGGACAUGACUACAUUGAAGCAGAUGGGCGAUAAAGACCUCAAAGAUAUGGGGAUACCAAUGGGACUGAGAAAGAAGAUUCGUCUUGCUUUGUGGCCUUGUUCCAGACGAAAACAACCAUAGCUGCAAACAUUUAUUGGCUGCACUUUGGAGAGUAUUUGUUACAUCUGUAACUUAUAGCUCGAGUAAAAAUUGACAAGCAUGGGGAGUGUAAGUAUUUUUUAGGUGGAGAUAUUCGUGUGUUGCUUUUCAAGAACCUGAAAUCUAUGUCAUGGAGAAAAAAAUGAAACGGUUUAUAUAUGUAAUGGGAUAUGGACGAUUGCGCUAGUGAAACAUCUAACUAAUUGUUUAAUCAAGAUUUUUUUUUUUUUU